rnacentral:rRNA from 1 species
GAUGAACGCUGACAGAAUGCUUAACACAUGCAAGUCUUUGGCGAAGCUGUGCUUGCACAGCCUAGCCAAGGCGGACGGGUGAGUAACGCGUAAGGAACUUGCCCUGCAGUCAGGGAUAACAGACGGAAACGACUGAUAAGACCUGGUAAAGUCAGGCGGACUCAUGUCCAGCCUGAUGAAAAGAGAUGCUGCAGCAGAGCCUUGCGUCCUAUUAGCUUGUUGGUGGGGUAACGGCCCACCAAGGCGAUGAUAGGUAGCCGGCCUGAGAGGGUGGACGGCCACAAGGGGACUGAGAUACGGCCCUUACUCCUACGGGAGGCAGCAGUGGGGAAUAUUGGACAAUGGGGGCAACCCUGAUCCAGCAAUUCUGUGUGCAAGAUGAAGGUUUUCGGAUUGUAAAGUGCUUUCAGCAGGGAAGAAAAAAAUGACGGUACCUGCAGAAGAAGCGACGGCUAAAUACGUG